GAUGCGAAAGCUGAGGAUUGGAGAGGCUGCCUACUGUGUCCAUUAUUGCAAAGCUAAUACAUGUUAGAGCCAGAGUACGAGCGCCACUGUGUCUGACUCCACUAUACCACACUGCCCUCAAGCUGAAGCUGUUGUACACAGAGCCCUUGGAAGUCUACUUCUGGGUACUUACAUGAGAUGGUAUGUAGAUAUCAUAAGAGUUUCCUGAAUCAACAUCAAUUACAUGGAAACCAGUGUGUGAACCAAAAAUAACCUUUAAUCUUUGACCUUCUUCUACCGUGAGAUCAACUAGCAGAGGCUUGUGCU